rnacentral:rRNA from 1 species
CAGCAGUCGCCGCGGGAAUACGUAGGGUGCAAGCGUUAAUCGGAAUUACUGGGCGUAAAGCGUGCGCAGGCGGUUAUAUAAGACAGAUGUGAAAUCCCCGGGCUCAACCUGGGAACUGCAUUUGUGACUGUAUAGCUAGAGUACGGCAGAGGGGGAUGGAAUUCCGCGUGUAGCAGUGAAAUGCGUAGAUAUGCGGAGGAACACCGAUGGCGAAGGCAAUCCCCUGGGCCUGUACUGACGCUCAUGCACGAAAGCGUGGGGAGCAAACAGGAUUAGAUACCCCGGUAGUCCCUGUCUCUUAUAC